rnacentral:tRNA from 1 species
GCACUGAUAGCUCAGCGGUAGAGCAAUCGGCUGCAGUUUUUCACGAAAAGCAUCCGAUAGGUCCUCGGUUCAAGUCCGGGUCAGUGCU